CACAACUUCCUUUACAAGACAGUGGAUCAGUGUCCUGUUGCCCUUCAGGAGAGACCCUGCUCUUCUGUGGGUCUUGGGAAAGAGGUUAGGGAUAUGUACCGUUGCCAAGAAAGGGAAGACAUUAUCUGGUGUUCUGAUCUAUCAGUCUGUUCUCUUGUUUCUCUGGAAGUGAUGCUAUCCCUGCGUAUUUCCUGUCUAAAAGAGUAGCCUUCAGAGAGGAGACUGCCACUUUAUGGGAAGUUUUGAAAACAGGGGAGGUAAUGGAACAUGUUAGCUAGAAAAGAAGAUUGAUUUCUUCCUGCAUGGUUACAUGGUCUUGAUGUAGAGAGGAGUCUCUGGAGAAAAUGGCAGCGUUUCAACUGGCUCACAAGUAGGACACACAAGAGACUUAAGGUAGGAGAUACGUUCACUCUGCUAAGAGAAGUCACGUGUUCAUCCUCAGCUCCCUGGGAGGCAGCGUAACUGGCAACCAUGUGGGCAAGGAAGGCGUCCAGAGGAAGGGGCACCAGGGACAUGUUCUCCAGGCUAUGGGCCUCGUAUUUUGGAUUGUUUUGGGAAUCACUGUGCUUACAUCCCUAGAGGAUCUGGGUGUAGGUCAGACAUACUACAGGGCUCAAGCCUAAGCAACCAGGGAAAUUAGCACCGACUCUCACGUGGGACAAAGACUUGACAAAGAGCCAGGCUGCACACCUCCUCACCCAGAGGCUCUUUCUUCCUUCCCUCCCUCCCUGGUUUUCAGGAAAUCCUGCAUUGAUAUAGACAAUGGUGUGCUCUGAAUGUCUCUGCUACCUGGAGACACUUAGGCUCUUGAACUAACUCACUAGUGGAAGUAGGGGGGAUUGUGAGAAGUAGAGGGAGCUGAUAAAUGUGGGUGCUAAAAUAGGGGGUACAUUUGGGUCAGCUGGGAAUUUGAGGAAAGGAUAGGUUAGGGUUCUGUGUCACCAAAGGCAGCAUAAGGUUUCACAGAAGUUCAUAGAAGAAAACCUCAAGAUGUCGCCACAUUUCUGAGAUGUCAGCAGCUAAGAGAAGAAAAGAUUGCUUAGUUACAGAAGUUUUACCCAUGGGAGCGUCUGGAAAAUGGCACUUAACAUUGUCACUGUCUUCAUGUAUCAAGCACCUAGAAGUUCACAGUGCAGUUCUGAAGACAUGCUCAUUUCUCUCUUCUUGUCUCUUCAGGUGCUACAUGGUGUGUUGGAAGGCUAGUGACCUGUUAGGCACUUGGAAAAAUUUAUGCAGCUUCAAGGCUCAUCUCAAAAGCUAACUCUGAGGCCUUCUUGACCUUCCGAGCUGUGCCGGGUCUCUCCAUCCCCUGUGGGCUCAUUAGAACUUGGAUAUUCCUUUAAUGCAAACAACACAUGGAAAUAGAAUGGACAAUCAUUCCCAUUUAGUUGUCAGCUGUUCAAGGUCAAUACUUAUGCUCUGUUGAUCUCUCUAACCCUCUAGAUCUGGUGCCUGGCAUGCUGUAGCUACCAGUAAAUGAGGCAACAGUCUUCUGGAAGCUGCACUUCUAUUACACAUAUACUGAUGUUCACCAAGAAGAACACACCAAAAAGAUAAAUUUAGUUAACAUUGAGCCUGUGUAUAAAGAGACACACUGGAUAAAGGAUAUAAAUUUAGAUGUUAUAGCAUGGAGGAAGUAGGGGAGAGAGGAAAUGACGCUAAUUGAGCAACUAGUUUUUACCUGGUACAACACAAAGUCUUAAAUAUGUUAUCUAAUUCAGCCAUCAUCACAACCCCUGCAGGUAGGUAUUUAACUCCUUAGAUGGCUAUUGUAUUCUUUUCUCUACAGGCCCUAUUUUAGAUGAUAGACUCUGAUGGUGAACAAGAGAAGCAGAGAUCUCAUUGCUUGUUUAUACACAAUCUAGCAACUAUUCUACAGUUCAGACAGGACACGUGAAUUGACUGGCUUUACAUAGCUCCCAAAAAUUCACACACGAAUUGACUGGCUUUACAUAGCUCACAAAAUUGACUGACUUUACAUAGCUCACAAAAUCGACUAGGUUUACAUAGCUCAUUUAAGUCUGGCCUGUGUGGCUGUAAGGUCUACUCUCUUUAUGUAUUGUAGGUAACAUAUAUUCCAGAAGUAACCCAGGAAACUCUGAAAUUUUCAUUUUGCAACCAAGAAGGGCAUCCAGGAAAAGCUAGCAAUUCUGGAGCGUUCUGGGACCUCCAAAUAGUCUUUGGUGAUGUUUAACAGCCUCCGUAAUUUCAUCAGUUAGUGCUGGGUUCGGGAUGAGGCAUUACAUGGCGGAAGGCGAGGGAUGGUUCUCUGUCACUUUAAGUCCUAAAUUAUUUUCAGGUGUUUGUUUCGAGGCAGGACGGGGAGGCAGCCUGCCAUUUAGUGGAAAGGGUGGACAUGGCCUCCUUUAGACCUCUCAUCAGAGUUACUGUUUCGAGUAAUGAAGAAGCACGGGGAUUGAUUUGAUGCCUAAUGAAUAAUCAGCUGCCAUCAAUAAUUGUAAUCACUAAUCUGGUGCAAUUAGAGGCAAUUAUAAUAAAUGCAAUUUCCUCUCGUGCCACUAACGAACUACAGAAGUAUGAAUUGACUCAAGGGGGCUGGCAGUGAUUUAUGUGAUUGUGAGAUCAUGAAUCCCAUUAUCUUGGGAAAGACUCUUAAAGGGGCAGGGUCCUAUUCUGAUGUCACCGCUUCCUAAUGAGAAGCUAGAAAAUGCAAUUCUAGAGGUAAUGAGCACAGAGGCUACUGUAUUUCUCUCACAACUGGCUUUAGAUAAGGGCCUUGUGCAGAUUCAGCUGGGCUGCCAUGCAAAGGCCUGUUCCUUUAAGUUCUGUUUACUGUAGUGAUACACCUUUAAGUCUUGAAGAAUGAAGAUGAAAUAUUCCAAACUAUGCUGCACAAGAGGAUGUGAACAGAAACAUCUGGACGGAGAAGAUCUUUUUUAUAUUCAGCCAUGCCAAUUGACCUACUACCCUCUCCAUAGCCAAAGGAAUGCCCAAAUUUCCACAGAAAGGCAUUUUUAUAUGAAGAAGCUCAUCCCUGUGGACCUUUCUCUUGAAUGCCUACUAUGAGUCACUCAGCAAGAGAGGCACCCAGCUCCCUCAAGGUCUGCAGUGCCUCGGAGGCCCACUUCCCUCCAUGACACAGUCUCUGAACAUAUUAUUCCUCACGGAUGAUCACCUUCUUAACUCCAUCCAGACGUGUGCCUCUGUCUCACUAUUUAGCGUUGUCCUAGAAAAUACUGAGUAAUUGUUUCAUGCGUAUACAUCAUGUUUCCUCAAGUAGAAUCUACCUUUAUACAAUCAAAAGUGUCAGAUUGAUGGAUGAGUAGCAGGUAAAUUUCUGAUAAAGAGAAUUAAAUUAAGUGUUAAUUGUAGAAUCUAGUGAUGGGUUUAUGGGUCUUAACUGUAAAAAUCUUUCAUCUUUUCUGUAUGUUUGAUAACUUUCAUAUAAAAAUAAUAAAAACUUUAGUUUAUCUUCUAUGUAAUUACAUGUUUACUUAAC
rnacentral:lncRNA from 10 species